GGGAGUGACCAUAGCUCAGUGGUAGAGCAUCUGCUUGACAUGGUCAGGUGGUCCUAGGGUUGAUCCCUACCAUCUCCA